rnacentral:sRNA from 1 species
UCAACCAAAACUGAAAAUCAUGUUUUCCCGCCAAAAUCGUAUGCCGACGUUUUUCCGCCAUACCGUAAAACCACGUUUUCUCCCCAAAAUCACAAAAAAUGUUUUCCUGCCAAAAUUACAAAAAGUGUUUUCCGACAAAAUUGAAAAUCGUAUUUUCCCGCCAAAACCGUAAACCGAUGUUUUCUCACCAAAAACUGUAAACCAAUAUUUUCUCGCAAAAACCUUAAACCCGUAUUUUCUAGCUAAAUUUUUCUU